UACGGAGGGUGCAAGCGUUAAUCGGAAUUACUGGGCGUAAAGCGUGCGUAGGUGGUUUGUUAAGUCCGUUGUGAAAGCCCCGAGCUCAACUUGGGAAUUGCAGUGGAUACUGGCAAGCUGGAGUGCGGUAGAGGAAGGUGGAAUUCCCGGUGUAGCGGUGAAAUGCGUAGAGAUGUGGAGGAACACCGAUGGCGAAGGCAGCCCCCUGGGUCAAGAUUGACGCUCAUGCACGAAAGCGUGGGGAGCAAACAGG
rnacentral:rRNA from 1 species